GUUCUGCGCAUCCCUAUUACAUACUGGGGGCAGGUGCUUUCUAGUUUCAUAGAAGAAAUCCUAUCUAACUUAGCAGGGGUGCUGGAUGAUCAGAUUGUGGUCCUUGUCUCACAGCCUCCAAAUUCUGAGCAGUACCAGAAGAUCCUUCAGUCCAGGAAAGUGUCUGAGAUCAGCAUAGCUGCCAAUGCCAUGUUCCUUAGCCAUUUCCAAUUUUCAUUUCAAUCUACUUCAAUUCCAGGCAUAUCAGUGGUCCUGCACACCUAACCUAGUUUAAAAUGUGUAUGAUGUAUUAGAGUUGUUCAUAUCAGUCAGUAUAAAAAUAUGAUAAAUUGAUAGGUAAAUGA